CUCCUUUCAUGGGACUGCAGUAAAGAAGAGGAAGUAAAAAAUAAGCAAUAAAGAGGGUGGAUAAUGUUCUCUUCUUGAGGGAAAUAUUGGUCAAUCUGAUAGUGAUGGAAUCAGUACCUAUAACCCUGUUCCUCACCAGGUGGCAAAACCAUCAUAAGGCGAAGCUCAAUGUGUCAUCUGGUGGAGCACUACACAACAGAUUGAUUUGAGGAGUGUAGAUUUAGAGGAAUAUUAAUAACAAAGAGAGAGAAGGCUGGGAAAACGUCAUGCUCACCUUUCAAAGAGAAAACACUGAGUAGUUAGUUAUUCGGUAUGGAAAAAUAAUAAAAUGAGCUGAAUUUCCAUUUUUUUGUUCUUGGGCAAAAAUAAAAAUGACAAAAGGACUCAUUUCUGGAAUCUGAUUAUUUUAAUAUCAACAGAGAAACAAACUAACAAAACGUA